GAUGAACGCUGGCGGCGUGCCUAAUACAUGCAAGUCGAGCGAACGGACGAGAAGCUUGCUUUUCUGAUGUUAGCGGCGGACGGGUGAGUAACACGUGGAUAACCUACCUAUAAGACUGGGAUAACUUCGGGAAACCGGAGCUAAUACCGGAUAAUAUUUUGAACCGCAUGGUUCAAAAGUGAAAGACGGUCUUGCUGUCACUUAUAGAUUGAUCCGCGCUGCAUUAGCUAGUUGGUAAGGUAACGGCUUACCAAGGCAACGAUGCAUAGCCGACCUGAGAGGGUGAUCGGCCACAAUGGAACUGAGACACGGUCCCGACUCCUAAGGGAGGCAGCCGUAGGGAAUCUUCCGCAAUGGGCGAAAGCCUGACGGAGCAACGCCGCGUGAGUGAUGAAGGUCUUCGGAUCGUAAAACUCUGUUAUUAGGGAAGAACAUAUGUGUAAGUAACUGUGCACAUCUUGAGGGUACCUAAUCAGAAAGCCACGGCUAACUACGUG
rnacentral:rRNA from 1 species